rnacentral:rRNA from 1 species
AUUGAACGCUGGCGGCAGGCUUAACACAUGCAAGUCGAGCGAGCGGCGGACGGGUGAGUAAUGUCUGGGAAACUGCCUGAUGGAGGGGGAUAACUACUGGAAACGGUCGCUAAUACCGCAUACCAUCGGAUGUGCCCAGAUGGGAUUAGCUAGUAGGUGGGUGAAAGGCUAACCUAGGCGACGAUCCCUAGCUGGUCUGAGAGGAUGACCAGCCACACGGGAACGGCGCCCCGGUCCAGACUCCUACGGUAGGCAGCAGUGGGGAAUAUUGCACAAUGGGCGCAAGCCUGAUGCAGCCAUGCCGCUUGUGUGAAGCAGGCCUUCGGGUGGUAAAGUACUUACAGCGGGAAGGCGUUACCCGCAGAAGAAGCACCGGCUAACUCCGUGCCAGCAGCCGCGGUAAUAC